rnacentral:lncRNA from 1 species
GGGGAUCAAGAACGGAGUUACAAGUGAUGAUUUCAGGACUUUAAAGCCACCAUAAGGAGUGCAUGAAGCCUUGGACGAAAUAUACAAGAUGCCACUUCAUAAUAUUCGUCCAUAGGCUAUUCUAGGUGCUGCGUCACCUUAUUAAUGGGCCAGGCCCAUGUAAUUUCGAAAUACUUAAGUAUAGGCUAUUUUUAGAGUCCGUAUGUGUGGGGAAACAAGAGUUAGGGUUGGUUUCGGACCCCACCCUCAAGGGCCACGAAAUUCCCCCCUCUUCCUCCAUAUAUACAGCCCUUAGGGCGUCGUUUAGACUUCGGGAUUUGUUUAGUUAAAAGUUAGCCAUUGCAACUUCGUGUACUUCGUUUGUGUCCAACGACCAGACCAAGACUGCUUCGGAUCCCCACCAUUAUCAAUACUUCAUAUAUAUUCGCAAUAUUUAGAUUGCUUUAUCAUAUUCUUGCUCGUUCUUCGAUUGCUUGCAGGAAUAGACCUUCGUGGUCAGGAUGAUCAUGCUUCCAGCAUCGUCAGUAACCUCAGGAGAUUGGUUUAGCAAUUACUAAGGCGCAACGUCGUGCACGUUUGUAGUCGGAUCGUCAAAGUCGUCUCCACCAAAUCGAUAGUUAUCAUCUCAUCGAAAGAUCAGGACCCUCGCCUCUAUCAAGUGGUAUCAGAUUUCCAGGUUGCUCGGUGAGAUUUUACAGUUUUUCGUAGAUUAGAUCGAGUCUGUUCUUCAUACCUACAGUCCACGAAAAAGCCACAAAUUUUUUUUAGGGUUAGUUCAUCAUAUCCGAACCAAUCUGAGCCUUUGCAUAAUCUUUUUAGGGUUUUUGCUUUUAUUGAAUUUGCGGUUGCAUCGUCGUGUCAAGUUGCUGGUCUUAGAGUCUAGUCCUUUAGAGUUUCGAGUUCUGGUCAUAAGUUGUCAUGCCGCCGCCGCACCAUCAUCAUCGCCCAUCUACCACUUUUGCUUAUCCGCCACCGCUCUGAAUCCAUAUCCAUAUACCACCACCAAUCCGUAUCCAUAUACCACCACCAAUAUGUAUCCAUAUACCACCAGCGCUACCAUAUACCACCACCGCCGCCAUAUACCACAACCAUAUAUCCACCACCAAUCCGAGUUCUUCUCAUAUUAGGUUUGUUCUUGAGAUCAAUCUAAAUUCCGAUUCGUGUUUCUUUGCCUGCGUAGGUCUCGGAAAAAAAAAGAGUCUGGAGACCCCCGGGCAGUUUUUAGGCCAAAAUUUUCACGGGCAAAUUUUUUUCCCUAUCCUAUUUUUAGGCUUUUCUGAGUCUUUUGAGCCACGUGCCAUCAUAGUGAUUUUUUGUCGCACUUUUUCGUCGUCGCUGCCCUGAUUUCCGACAAAAAAAGUGAAAGAAAAAUUCGUGCCCAUCCUAUCAGUUUGACGAGGGAAGAGUUUUGAGACACUCGCCAUUAUAGUGAUUUUUCGCAAAAAAAAAAGAGCGCAAAAAAAGGAGCGCAAAAAAAAGAGCGAAAAAAAAUAGUUCCAGAGUGUGCUUUUCCCUUAUUUACGUGCAGCGCCAUGAUUUUGUUAGUGUUCUAGGCUCGCGUCUCUAGCACGGUCUAGCCUAGGACCAGCACAGUACCGUCGUUGAGCGUUUAUUCAACUUUGCAUCUCUGAAUUGAUUAUUGCUGACCCUUUUUGCUACCAUACUAUAAGCCUUCCCAGCUCCACAUACAUCUACGUCGUGCGUUUUACUCUCCCUGGCAAUUGCUCUAUCCAAGCUUUUGAGAGUUUUGACUAUAACGGUUGCCGAUCACCGCCUGCUGCUGGGUAAGAACUGGUAAGAAUUUGAGAUUUGCUUGACGGAUUUGUGACACCCGCCACCACCACCACUUGUUAGUAGUCUGUAGGAUCAUAUUCUUGUGUGUUUCUAGUGCUGCUAACCAUGCCAGGAUCACAUUCCGACGAGACUGACUGGGAGAACUUGACGAACAAGGAGCUUCAUGAUACGUUUCAGCAAAUGAUGAGUGUACAGGUGCAAGAUGUGAUAAACAGAUUUGAAGAGGCCAUGGAGAAGAUAGAUGGCAUGGAGAAGACGUUUGAAACAAAGCUCGAUAACAAGUUUGCUGAAUUGCUUUCGCGUUUUCCACCACCACCACCGGCUGCUCCUGCCGCACCUCUGCAACAACAGCAACAACACCGACUACCUCCAUGUCGGGAAACAGCCCUCCGCCUAGCGAGCCGUGUCCCUCUUCAGUCGGGCCAAACUGCUGGUGCUGCUAUUGAUACUUCUGUGGCUCCUACUGCUGAUGUGGAGGAGGAUGAUUAUGUGGGAGAUUAUGAGGAUGAGGUUGAUCAAAAUCAGAACUACGUGCCACCACCAGCACAGCAACCACCAGGUCGUCCACAUGCAAAUAAUGGCAAUGGUAGGGCUCACCCUCAGGUACGAGAUCAUGACCAUCUCCCUAAACUAAAAUUGAAUAUUCCACCAUUUGAGGGUAGAUAUGUUCCUGAUAUAUAUCUUACUUGGGAGUUAGAAACUGAACAACGAUUUACAUGUUUACAAUAUCCCGAGGAGAGACGUGUUCCUGCUGCUGUUUGUGCAUUCACUAGUUUUCCAUGUGUUUGGUGGUCUGAGCAUUGUAGAUUAUUUCCUAUUCCGGCUACUUGGGCUGCUUUGAAAACUGCUAUGCGUACUCGUUGGGUUCCACCAUAUUAUCAUCGUGAAUUAGUUCAAAAAUUGUAGCGCUUAAGACAGGGAAAAAAUUCUGUAGAAGAAUAUUAUAAGGAAUUACAAACUGGCAUGAUUAGAUGUGGUAUUGUUGAGGAGAAUGAAGCUAUGCUUGCACGUUUUAUGGGUGGAUUAAAUAGAGAUAUUCAGACGAUUCUAGAGUAUAAGGAGUAUACUAAUAUCACUCGUUUAUUCCAUCUUGCUUGUAAAGCUGAACGUGAAGUGCAGGAUCGACAGGAAUUGGCGCGGACUAACUUUUCUGCAGGUCGACCUUCAUCAUGGACACCACGUGCAUCAUCUACUUCCACACGUUCUGCUACACCGGCGCCUCCGUCGGCUGCCACCUCCAACCGUGAUACAAUAAAGCAGGCACAAUCACCACUAUCUGCCAAGAGCACACCUUCUGGGCCUGCAAAGAGCUCUUCUUCAUCCAUGGCAUCAACAGGGUAAACACAUGAUAUUAUUUGUCGACGUUGCAAGGGUGGAGGUCAUUAUGCGAGAGAAUGCCCAUCUAAGUGUGUGAUGAUUGUUACUGAGGAUGGUGGGUAUGAGUCUGCUAGUGACUAUGAUGAGGAGACUUUGGCUCUUAUUACACGUGACGAACAUGGUGGAGACGAUUCUGAUCAUGAGACGCAAUACAUGGCUGCUGAAGAUGCUGACAGGUAUGAAUGUUUAGUUGCUCAACGUGUUUUGAGUGUGCAGGUUACACAAGCUGAGAAAAAUCAGAGGCAUAAUUUGUUCCAUACAAAGGGAGUUGUGAAGGAACGUUCUGUUCGCGUGAUCAUAGAUGGAGGGAGCUGCAAUAACUUGGCUAGCAUGGAGAUGGUGGAGAAGCUAUCUCUCACCACAAGACCACAUCCACAUCCUUACUACAUCCAAUGGUUCAACAACAGCGGCAAGGUUAAGGUAACACGUACUGUUCGUGUGCAUUUUAGUAUCUCUACAUAUGCUGAUUAUGUUGAUUGUGAUGUGGUACCUAUGCAAGCAUGUUCCUUAUUACUUGGUAGACCAUGGCAAUUUGAUAAAAAUUCUGUACACCAUGGUAGAAACAAUCAGUAUACUCUUGUUCAUAACGAUAAAAAUAUUACUUUGCUUCCUAUGACUCCUGAUUCCAUUUUGAAAGAUGAUAUUAAUAGAGCUAAUAAAGCAAAACAGGAGACAAAUAAGAGUGAAAAUCAGAUUGUGGCAAAAGAAUUUGAGCACCAAAUGAAGUCUAAUAAUAAACCAUCUACUGUUGUUUCUGAAAUUAAAUUGAAAAGUGCAUGUUUACUUGCCACCAAAUCUGAUAUUGAUGAGCUAGAUUUCAGCAAAUCUGUUUGCUAUGCCUUUGUGUGCAAAGAGGCAUUAUUUUCAUUCGAGGACGUGCCUUCCUCUUUGCCCCCUACUGUCACUAACAUUUUGCAGGAGUUCGCUGACGUCUUUCCACAAGACGUGCCACCAGGAUUACCACCUAUUCAAGGGAUUGAGCAUCAAAUUGACUUAAUUCUCGGUGCUUCGCUACCUAACCGUGCACCAUACCGUACCAAUCCAGAGGAGACGAAGGAGAUUAUGCGUCAAGUACAAGAACUGCUCGACAAAGGUUAUAUACGCGAAUCCCUUAGUCCUUGUGCUGUUCCUAUCAUUUUAGUGCCGAAAAAGGAUGGUACAUCGCGUAUGUGCGUUGAUUGUAGAGGCAUAAAUAAUAUUACUAUUCGUUAUCGUCAUCCUAUUCCUAGGCUAGAUGAUAUGCUUGAUGAAUUGAGUGGCUCUACAAUAUUCUCCAAAGUUGAUUUGCGUGGUGGAUACCAUCAAAUUCGUAUGAAAUUGGGAGAUGAAUGGAAAACAACAUUUAAAACUAAGUUUGGAUUAUAUGAGUGGUUAGUCAUGCCUUUUGGGUUAACUAAUGCACCUAGUACUUUCAUGAGGUUAAUGAACGAAGUUUUACGUGCUUUCAUUGGACGAUUUGUGGUAGUUUACUUUGAUGACAUAUUGAUUUAUAGCAAAUCUUUGGAGGAACAUUUGGAACAUUUACGUGCUGUUUUUAUUGCUCUACGUGAUGCACGUUUGUUUGGAAACCUUGGAAAGUGCACCUUUUGCACCGACCGAGUAUCUUUUCUUGGCUAUGUUGUUACUCCACAAGGAAUUGAAGUUGAUAAAGCCAAGAUUGAAGCUAUUGAGAGUUGGCCGCAGCCCAAAAUGGUCACACAAGUGAGGAGUUUCCUUGGCCUCGCUGGUUUCUAUAGGCGUUUUGUGAGAGAUUUCAGCACCAUUGCUGCAACUCUCAACGAGCUUACAAACAAGGAUGUGCCUUUUGUUUGGGGUAUCGCACAGGAAGAAGCCUUCACGGUAUUGAAUGAUAAGUUGACACAUGCUCCUUUACUCCAACUUCCUAAUUUCAAUAAGACUUUUGAGCUUGAAUGUGAUGCUAGUGGAAUUGGAUUAGGAGGUGUGUUAUUACAAGAUGGAAAACCUGUUGCAUACUUUUCUGAAAAAUUGAGUGGGCCUAGUCUGAACUAUUCUACUUAUGAUAAAGAAUUAUAUGCUCUUGUUCGGACCUUAGAAACAUGGCAACAUUAUUUAUGGCGCAAGGAAUUUGUUAUACAUUCUGAUCAUGAAUCUUUGAAACACAUUAAAAGUCAAGCAAAACUGAACCGUAGACAUGCUAAAUGGGUUGAAUUCAUUGAGACUUUCCCUUAUGUCAUUAAACACAAGAAGGGUAAAGAAAAUGUUAUUGCUGAUGCCUUGUCUCGUCGUUAUACUAUGCUUUCACAACUUGACUUUAAAAUAUUUGGUUUGGAGACCAUCAAAGAUCAAUAUGUUCAUGAUGCUGAAUUUAAAGAUGUAUUGCAGAAUUGUAAGGAAGGGAGAACUUGGAACAAGUUUGUUCUUAACGAUGGAUUUGUGUUUCAUGCUAACAAGCUAUGCAUUCCAGCUAGCUCCGUUCGUCUUUUGUUGUUGCAGGAGGCGCAUGGAGGAGGAUUAAUGGGACACUUUGGUGUCAAGAAGACGGAGGAUAUACUUGCUACACAUUUCUUUUGGCCAAAGAUGAGACGGGAUGUUGAGCGUUUUGUUGCUCGCUGCACUACAUGUCAAAGAGCUAAGUCACGACUCAAUCCUCAUGGUUUAUAUAUGCCUUUGCCUGUACCUAGUGUUCCUUGGGAGGAUAUAUCUAUGGACUUUGUUUUAGGUUUACCUCGAAAAAAUAAGGGGAGGGAUAGCAUAUUUGUUGUCGUGGAUAGGUUCUCGAAAAUGGCACACUUUAUACCAUGUCAUAAAAGCGAUAUGUUGUUAAUGUUGCUGAUUUGUUCUUUCGUGAAAUUAUUCGCUUACAUGGUGUGCCAAAUACUAUUGUUUCAGAUCGUGAUACUAAAUUUCUUAGCCACUUUUGGAGAUGUUUAUGGGCUAAGUUGGGGACUAAGCUACUUUUUAGUACUACUUGUCACUCCCAAACUGAUGGACAAACUGAAGUAGUCAAUAGAACAUUGUCUACUAUGCUUAGGGCUGUUUUGAAGAAUAACAAGAAAAUGUGGGAAGAAUGCUUGCCUCAUAUUGAAUUUGCUUAUAAUCGUUCAUUGCAUUCUACUACUAAGAUGUGCCCUUUUGAAAUUGUGUAUGGUUUCCUACCUCGUGCACCUAUUGAUUUAUUGCCUCUUCCAUCUUCAGAGAAGGUUAAUUUUGAUGCUAAAGAACGUUCUGAAUUGAUUUUAAAAAUGCAUGAGUUAACUAAGGAUAACAUUGAGCGUAUGAAUGCUAAAUAUAAACUUGCUGGAGAUAAGGGUAGAAAACAUGUUGUGUUUGCGCCUGGAGAUCUUGUUUGGUUACAUUUGCCUAAAGAUAGAUUUCCUAAUCUGCGCAAAUCAAAGCUAAUGCCACGUGCUGAUGGUCCUUUUAAGGUGUUAGAGAAAAUAAAUGAUAAUGCAUAUAAACUUGAGCUACCUGUAGAUUUCGGGGUUAGUCCCACUUUUAACAUUGCAGAUUUGAAGCCUUAUUUGGGUGAGGAAGAUGCGCUUCCGUCGAGGACGACUUCAUUUCAAGAAGGGGAGGAUGAUGAGGACAUCAAUACCAUUGUUACACCCACAGCCCCUACUGUUAGAUAUACUGGACCAAUUACUAGAGCUCGCGCACGCCAAUUAAAUUACCAUGUACUUUCGUUUCUUGGUAAUGAUUCUAAUGUUCAUGAGAUUAUGAUGCUGCCUAAAUUGGAUACAUUCGUUUUGCUUACAAUUGAAGGGCUUAGCUUGGACAAGGAUGAACAUUGGAGCAAGAACACACAUGGAGUUGAUGGUAUGCGCAAGGGGAUCAAGAACGGAGUUACAAGUGAUGAUUUCAGGACUUUAAAGUCGCCAUAAGGAGUGCAUGAAGCCUUGGACGAAAUAUACAAGAUGCCACUUCAUAAUAUUCGUCCAUAGGCUAUUCUAGGUGCUGCGUCACCUUAUUAAUGGGCCAGGUCCAUGUAAUUUCGAAAUACUUAAGUAUAGGCUAUUUUUAGAGUCCGUAUGUGUGGGGAAACAAGAGUUAGG